UUCAUUAGGAACAUGGAAAAAAAAUGGCGAACUGGGAACCAAAGGCAUUUUUGUCCAACUAUAUUCCAAAGUUUAUGAGUAUCUCUCGGGCUGCCAUGAACCACCGCCACCCUAACUCGUCGAUUCACACCAGAGCUAAAUCCUUCAAGCAUAUGUUCGUCUUCUUCAUGUUCGGAUGAUGACGAUGAUAGUGACAUGUGCGUACGGGAUUUGAAUUUCAGUAGUAAUGGUUUGGUAUCGUUUGCUAGGGUUCCGAUGGGGGUUCCGGUGACUAUGACGUCUGAAUCUCGCAACCGUCGUCGGUGGAGGAGCGGCGGCUGCGGUUGCUCCGCCGAUGGCACUCGCCGGUGAUAAACACGUGGAGUCGUCUUCUGGCGAGUUGAUUUUGGCUGGAAGGUCCAAGGGUCCUAUUUCGAGUGCGGUAUCUACUCCAUCCCACAAAACUGUCAUUUCGGAGCCCUUAAAUAUUCAACAAAGGCUUACAUCUAAUCUAUAUUGUUUUAUCCUGAGUAUUAAAACAGCAUAUUUAGUUCUUUUGGAAAAUCUGAUAAUAUGUAAUUGUUACAGCGACCCGAGAGAGACACAACCCCAUACCCCAUCAUACUAUACACAGUCGAACUUUACCCUCAACGGUUUCAUCUAAUCAGGUGCAACCCUUUAUUUUAUGUUACUGACAUAUCAGCAGCAUAUAUGAAGCUCUCAAGUCUCAUUUGAUAUUGCAUUGUGUUUGAAAUAUCUGAAUGUACUGCGGCAUGCUGAAUGAAUCUGUUUACCUUGAAAUCCACUAAUGUUUUCUUAAUAAAUGAAGAUGCGUAAUAUUA